rnacentral:tRNA from 1 species
GGUAAAAUGGCUGAGCUUAGGCAUUAAACUGUAAAUUUAACUACGAAGAUUUAUCUUCUUUUACCA